rnacentral:rRNA from 1 species
UUCCGGUUGAUCCCGCCGGAGGCUACCGCUAUUGGAGUUCGAUUAAGCCAUGCGAGUCGCGAGUCUUAGGGACUCGGCGUACCGCUCAGUAACACGUGGGUAACCUGCCCUAUGCUGGGGGAUAACCUCGGGAAACUGAGAAUAAUACCCCAUAGUUCACCACGCCUGGAACGGUGGGUGGAUGAAAGCUCCGGCGGCAUAGGAUGGGCCUGCGGCGUAUCAGGUUGUAGGGGGUGUAAUGUACCCUCUAGCCAUCUACGCGUACGGGUGUUGGGAGACAUCGCCCGGAGAUGGAUUCUGAGACACGAAUCCAGACCCUACGGGGUGCAGCAGGCGCGAAAACUUGGCAAUGCGAGAAAUCGUGACCAGGGAACUCCAAGUGCAUCGGGUAAGACCGAUGCUUUUCUUGACUCUUCAAAGGUCUUGGAAUAAGGGGUGGGUAAGGACGGUGCCAGCCGCCGCGGUAAUACCGGCGCCUCAAGUGGUAGUCGCUUUUAUUGGGCCUAAAACGUCCGUAGCCGGUUUGGUACAUUCGUGGGUAAAUCAAGGCGCUCAACGUCUUGAAUUCUGCGAGCACGGCCAGACUUGGGACCGGGUGAGGUGUGGGGUACUCUCAGGGUAGGGGUAAAAUCCUGUCAUCCUGAGAGGACCACCUGUUGCGAAGGCGCCACACUAGAACGGAUCCGACGGUCAGGGACGAAGCCUAGGGGCACGAACCGGAUUAGAUACCCGGGUAGUCCUAGGUGUAAACGCUGUGGACUUGAUGUUGGGAGUGCUCCGAGCACCCUCAGUGUCGAAGCGAAGGUGAUAAGUCCACUGCCUGGGGAGUACGGUCGCAAGGCUGAAACUUAAAGGAAUUGGCGGGGGAGCACUGCAACCUGAGGAUUGUGCGGUUUAAUUGGAUUCAACGCCGGA